rnacentral:lncRNA from 1 species
CAACAACAACAACACGAUCACAUCGAAAAUACCCCGGAAAAGAACAUUAUGAUAUUCUAAACCAACAAUCAACAUAGAUUAAUGCAACCAAAUCUAAAUCAAAACAGUGGCUAUAACCAACAGCAUAAUAUCAAGGAAAACACAACACAAACUGUUACCGUAACGCUAAACCACUUUAAUCCCGCAGCAAGAAAAUGAUAACAUUAAACAUGUAACAAAUUCAUUGCAAUAAAUACCAAACUGGUUCAAUACAACUCAAUAUGAAGUUUAAUAUGUCUAUGAAAUCAACAUGAUGCGAUUAACGGAAGGUAAAGAGAAUAACAUUAAAAAAUAUUGGAUAUAACAAUAAACAAAAGCCUUGCCCAUAAGAGCCACUUCUCCAAACAGAAAACCAACUGGACAUGACAAAUGCAAGUAGCAAUUCAAAUUAUCAUAAUAACAAAAAGCCUUCUAAAGUUGGUUACAACAACACCUUGGUAAGACAAUUUACAAACUAGAACACAAUAGGAAACCAGUAGAAAACAAUGAGGCCAUAGUCAUAUUCAAAAAACACUACCUAAUGGAAUCAACUAAAGUUGGUUACAACAACACCUUGGUAAGACAAUUUACAAACUAGAACACAAUAGGAAACCAGUAGAAAACAAUGAGGCCAUAGUCAUAUUCAAAAAACACUACCUAAUGGAAUCAAUCUCAGAAUAUCCACACUCUAUAAUACUUGCAACAGUUUGUGACACAACAGAAAUUAAUAAAAGUUUAAUGUAAUAACAGAGUUAAUCUCAAAAUCACAACACCACAAGCAUACGAAAUUGAUAUUUUUACCGAAGCGGUGUCACUGCUGUCGUUUGUUGUCGCUGCGGAGUUGGAAGGUUUAUUGCUUGGUUUCGCCUGUUGGGGAAGAGAGAAUCUGCGUCGCGGUUGGUUGUGGUGAAUUUAGAAGAGCAAACCGUGGCGGCGGCAAUGUCGGUGAACAGAGGUGGAUUCGCCUGAGUAUGAAGGAGUUCGGUUAUUGACACGGGGGUGAGGUCUGGAAUUUAUCGCCAGAAUAUAUGAGGAAGACGGAGGAUGGUUCAAAAUUGACGGUGGUUGAGCGAUGAUGCGGCAACGUAGUUGUAGUGGUGGCGAUUCACGACGGUUAUUCUAGGUUGUUUCGGCGGAAGCGAAAAUGAGGUGUUAGUGUGGUGAAAGGGUGGAAGACGAUGGAGUAUUUGAAGAAGAGGAAUGGUGAUGGUUAAGGGUGAGGCGCUCAGGGAAAGAUCCAGAGGCUUCUUCUCUUUUUCCGUUUUAAUCCUUUUCUUUAUUCUUUGAGAGAGAGAGAGUAAGUUAGUGUCUGUUGGUCCCUUUGUGAAGUCAGCAGAG